rnacentral:rRNA from 1 species
CCCAGCUUGCUGGGGUACACGAGUGGCGAACGGGUGAGUAACACGUGGGUGACCUGCCCCGCACUUCGGGAUAAGCCUGGGAAACUGGGUCUAAUACCGGAUAGGACCGCACCGUGAGGGUGUGGUGGAAAGUUUUUCGGUGUGGGAUGGGCCCGCGGCCUAUCAGCUUGUUGGUGGGGUAAUGGCCUACCAAGGCGGCGACGGGUAGCCGGCCUGAGAGGGUGGACGGCCACAUUGGGACUGAGACACGGCCCAGACUCCUACGGGAGGCAGCAGUGGGGAAUAUUGCACAAUGGGCGGAAGCCUGAUGCAGCGACGCCGCGUGGGGGAUGACGGCCUUCGGGUUGUAAACUCCUUUCACCAUCGACGAAGGUUUUCUGACGGUAGAUGGAGAAGAAGCACCGGCUAACUACGUGCCAGCAGCCGCGGUAAUACGUAGGGUGCGAGCGUUGUCCGGAAUUACUGGGCGUAAAGAGCUCGUAGGUGGUUUGUCGCGUCGUCUGUGAAAUUCCGGGGCUUAACUCCGGGCGUGCAGGCGAUACGGGCAUAACUUGAGUACUGUAGGGGAGACUGGAAUUCCUGGUGUAGCGGUGAAAUGCGCAGAUAUCAGGAGGAACACCGGUGGCGAAGGCGGGUCUCUGGGCAGUAACUGACGCUGAGGAGCGAAAGCAUGGGUAGCGAACAGGAUUAGAUACCCUGGUAGUCCAUGCCGUAAACGGUGGGCGCUAGGUGUAGGGGUCUUCCACGACUUCUGUGCCGUAGCUAACGCAUUAAGCGCCCCGCCUGGGGAGUACGGCCGCAAGGCUAAAACUCAAAGGAAUUGACGGGGGCCCGCACAAGCGGCGGAGCAUGUGGAUUAAUUCGAUGCAACGCGAAGAACCUUACCUGGGCUUGACAUAUACGGGACCGGGCCAGAGAUGGUCCUUCCCUUGUGGCUCGUAUACAGGUGGUGCAUGGUUGUCGUCAGCUCGUGUCGUGAGAUGUUGGGUUAAGUCCCGCAACGAGCGCAACCCUUGUCUUAUGUUGCCAGCACGUAAUGGUGGGGACUCGUGAGAAACUGCCGGGGUCAACUCGGAGGAAGGUGGGGAUGACGUCAAAUCAUCAUGCCCCUUAUGUCCAGGGCUUCACACAUGCUACAAUGGUCGGUACAGUGGGUUGC